CCUACGGGUGGCUGCAGUGGGGAAUAUUGCGCAAUGGGCGAAAGCCUGACGCAGCCACGCCGCGUGAGCGAUGAAGGCCUUCGGGUCGUAAAGCUCUGUGGGGAGAGAAGAAUAAAGCCUGUGAAGAGCGGGCCUUGACGGUAUCUCCUUAGCAAGCACCGGCUAACUCCGUGCCAGCAGCCGCGGUAAUACGGAGGGUGCAAACGUUGCUCGGAAUCAUUGGGCGUAAAGCGAAGUAAGGCGGCGGUGAAAGCCCCGGGCUCAACCCGGGAAGUGCAUUCAAAACUGUUUCGCUUGAAUCUCGGAGGGGGUCAGAGAAUUCCCGGUGUAGAGGUGAAAUUCGUAGAUAUCGGGAGGAAUACCAGUGGCGAAGGCGCUGACCUGGACGAAGAUUGACGCUGAGGGGCGAAAGCGCGGGGAGCAAACAGGAUUAGAUACCCUUGGUAGUC
rnacentral:rRNA from 1 species